AAAACAAUGUAGUAAAUACUGCAACUUGUUAUACUCUUCAUUGGAAAUUUUGUUUUUUCAUAAAAUAAAAAAUGAGGUGGAAAUUUUAUGACAAAAGAAAGUAGGAAUUCUUGACAGGGAUAGGAUGGGUGGCUUGGGAAAAAUGUGAUCUAUUUUGGACCCUUGAUACUUGAGAAAAGUGUGCUGGGAAUGCUGGUUUUCAGAGUCCAAGGGAGCUGUUGGAAGUUCCAUGGCUCCUGGUGAACUGCUCAUCCAGACCGGCUCUGACCUGCUCUGGGGCACUAGGGAGGGAAAACAAAUCCACUUCUCCUGUUUCUCUGAGUGGACCAUGUCAGGAUGUCUCUCAGUGUUCUCUGCAGUAAGCAUGAGAUCUGUGCUUUUCAUGCUGCUACAGGCUUUAAAAAGCCUUCAGUGAAGAGUCUAGGAUCAGGUAGGAGCUACAUGGCCAAUAAGCUCUUGUGCUCUUUGUAGAAGUCACUGUCCAGGAGGGACAGGGAGCAGAGGCAGGGCUGGCCCGGGGCUGAGUGAAGAAGCUGUGGACUCCUGUGUGUAUGAGUCUCCUCAGCUUCAAGUGUGGCAACCACUCCUUACCAUACCCAUUAUGGAGAGUCAGGACAGGGAGGGCAGAGGGGACAGUGUCAGGGAAGUGGACAGAGUGGGACCUUGCACUGGGCUUGCUGUGCCUGCCUCUCCCAGCUGGUGUCUUCUCUGUUUAGCUUGUGCUCCAAUAACUGUUUGUCCACAGAGAAACCUGCCACCUCCUUGCUGGAUUUCUGUCAGGCCAUGUUGAACACUGCCAAGCAUCAGAACAGCCAGAUCCUUUCUCCUCCCUCACCCCCAAAUGCUCUCCAUUGUAGCCACAGUCCCAGGAAGCCAAGCAAAGUGGCAUCCCUGGUGAGGAUGAGACACCAGCUCUGCUGCUUAAACAUGAUAACUAGAGCUGUGCAACAUGCCUGGCCCGAAGGCGGUCAAUAUCUGGCAUUAUUUUCAGUGGAUUCUGUGGACACAACAUGGUUUGGUGUGAGGAAUUCAUUAGUUCCUGUGUCCUUUAUGGGGGAAAGACACAGAGACUUUGUGCCCCAGGGGAGCAAGCGCACAGUUGUGUCUGACUUGUGACUUGGCCCUCGGUGGCCCAAGAGCAUCUUUGAACACUUUUUUCUCCUUCCUCCAGCACCAGCUGUUGACUUCUCAUCCUGAGGGAAGAAACUGUACCUCAGUGUAAAAAUGGGCAACUAUGGGUUAACUGUGUAACUGUACUUGCUGAGGAAGAUACCUUGUAACUGCAGUCACCACUGUAAUGCAAGCUCACUGGAGCAAGGCGAUCUCAGACAGCCCUGCCAAAUCUCCUGCUCCCCUCUUCACUGCCCCUUUGCUUAUAUAAUUAAGUUUACAUUGAUGGCUGUUUCCCCAGUAAUUACAGUUGCUGUUUCUCCCUCCCACAGAAACAUAAAGAGAGUAAACUUCUGUUUACUCUAAGGUGAUUUGAAUCCCUUGAAACCACCUGCAAUAAAGCUGAUAUUUGCUCCUACUAAGUGUGGUCAGUGGUCUGUCUGGAGACCCCCAAGCAGUCACACUUCAAUCCCAAGUUGCCCUCUGCAUUUGAAGUCACAAGUCUAAGAGUCCCUGGCUGUGACAUUUGCUGCAGAAGGUCCCCUGAGCUCUGGCACCUUGGGCAGGGACCCUGAUGGCGGGGGACCCACUGCAGCCUUUUCAGAGGAGCUCUGCUUGCCAAGGUCACUGAGGAGCUCUGGACAGUCCCUGGUACAGCCUGCAGCAGGUGCUUCUGGCCCACACUCUUGGCCAAGUGCCCUACUGGGGUUGAAUGUGCCUAGGACAUACUGCUUGACAAACUGUUUUUCUUUUCUCUGCCAGGGAAUUAUAUAAAAGAACUACAGGAAAAUCUCAGGUAAGGGAGGCUACUAAGCAUGACUUAUGGGAAAAUCAGGAACAGUUUGUGGAUGAGGCUGGUUUGAGCAUGAAUCAGAGUAUAUUCCAUUCACUGACUAGACAAAUGCUGGUCUACCCACUGCACCUCAUCCUGACCCAGAAUGAAAAUACACAGCUGAAAGCAAACAUGAGGGCUUACAAUACAGUGAGGCAGACAAAUGCUCAUCAUGCAAUCAUAUAACCGUAAUGAAUUUACAUGGGAAUCCUAGGUGUGGUGGCACACAUCUGUGAUCCCAGCACUCUGGAGGCUGAGGCAGGAGGAUCGCCACAAGUUCAAGGCAGGCCAGCCUGGGCUCCAUAGUGAGUUUAAGGCCAGCCUGAUCUACAUAGUGAGACCCUGUCUCAAAAAAAAAAAUUAAGGGGCCAGGGAUUUAGCUCAGUGGUUUCGCUGGUACCAAAAAAAAAAUUUUUUUUUUUUGCAUGGGAAGAACCCUAAGGGUUGUAUGGAAAAAUAGUGAAAUAAAUUAGGACAUGUUUUGGAGUUAAUAUCAUAUAACAAUUGAAACUUUCUAAUCAUUAUAAAAUGAUUACAGUAACACUGGGUGUUUUUAAAUGGGAUAUAAAAUACACAGCAUAGGGCCAGGGAUUUAGCUCAGUGGUUCCACUGCCUGCUUUGCAAGUGCAAGGUCCCAAGUUCUAUCCCAGGUACCAAAAAAACAAAACAAAACAAAGACCAGUAUAAUCCCUAUUCUGUAAAGCUCCUGUCUUACACAGAAAGGCUGGCCAUGAGCCACACUAACAGUGUCUGUUGCUGGUGGCACUCAGGAGACAACUCAUCCUCUGGAAAGAGCCACGUCCCUUCCUGGAGGCCAACAGAGUUGCAUGUCCCCUGGAUUCCUGAUGAGGUGCAUCUAUGAGAUGAGGGACUAAUUUUAAUGUGGCAGGGUCCUUGGCACUCUUCUUGCUGGGACUCACAGAGCUGGGGUGUGGCCUGUGAUGCUGUCCCUUCAGGGCUAGCUCUUCAGCACUCACUUGUCUCUGUUGGCUGUUUUUUGCCCACUUUUUCUAAAGAUAAAAAUGUGUGUCUAGAAGUACUUCUAGGGAUGAAGCAGAAAUUUGAUUUCUGAGUGUUCUGGGCAUCUGAUUAAACUCCUUUGUCAUUCAUCCAGGCCUGGUGUUCUUAUGUGUUACCCUCUCUUCUAGUAUCUACAAUGGGUGUUUAAUUUGAAAACCUUUUCUUUGGAAGCCAGUGACAUGCUAUUACUUUUAUCAAUUUACAAAAACUAAUUGUAUAUUUCUGGAUUUUUGUUUUUUUCAGCUGCUUGGGUUUCUUUUUUUUUUUGGUACUGAGGAUCAAACUCGGGUCCUUGCGAGGCAGCAGGCAGCUGAAACCACUGAGCUAAAUCCUCGGCCCAGGGUUUCUGAAUAAAAAAUUAAGUUUACUCAUUACAGAAGUACUGAGGUCAUGCACGCAAAUACAGAGUAGGUCAUAUAUAUUACAAAAGAAGGUGCUAGUUUUUCCUCUGAUCUGUAAAAUUUUCCACUUCAGGAAAGUUUUCCUCUAUGUUUGGUUACUUGUGUGCUUUAAAGACCUCAAGGGCUGCUUGGGGAGGGGACGGUUCUGUUGGGCUGUGGGUGACGAAUGCAACAACCUGUCCCCUCUGCCUCCUGGGACUCACUCUGCUUCUCAAAUGCGUUCCCCAUGAAGACAGGGCUAUUUUUGCAUUGUUAGUUGAGGGGCGCUACUGCUUUCCUUGUGCUGCAGGUUACAUGACAAGAGACCUGCCCUCUGAGGCCACCAAGCCUUCAUUGUGGUGUGCUGAAAUGUGAAUACUGAGGAUGGGAACCAGCUGCCAUUGGGAUCUUGCUGGCGUCUUCUGCCACCGCCUGAGGACACAGGGAAUGACCUGAUCCCGAGAUUCAGCUGACCCUCUGGGCACUGUCUACGCCAGUGCAGAGUGGUGGGGGACAUGGAAGAGCUGGGAGCAGGGAGAUGAGGAGCCACUGGCUGCAGGGUCCCCUUACCUGGAGGUCCAGAGAGGACAAGUCUCGCCGCCCCCACUCUGCCCCCCAUACCACUUGUACGGGGCUCGUGCAGCUGGAGCAAAGUGGGAUGGGCAGCUUCAAAAGGCAGCUGCUAGCUCUGGAAGGACCAGGCAUUUUCCUUCCAAGCAGUUAACAGAGGACUCCACACAAAGGCCAGGGCACUCAGGCACCAGAGAGUAAAGUCAAGGCUGCAGCGGGUCUGGUUGCCUUGCCCUCACCGCCAUGCACAGGGAGAGGGAGGGGUAAGCAUUAAAAGGGAU
ensembl:lncRNA